CCUUAAGAAGAUUCAAGGUACUCCAUUGAAGGAGAUCAUUUUUGCAGGCUAUCAUUGGAAGAAAAUAUGUGCUAAAACAAAGCAUCACACCCUGUCACUGAAUGCCCUGCCACUGAUCUGGACUUCUUUGCCGUCUGAACUCUGCUGAUGUCUUUUACUAAGCAAUAGCGGGAAACAGAUGUGAGAUGAAGAGAAAAGGAGCGGAGGAGGAGGGCUGUGACUGGUGUUCUCAAGGUGCAGUAUAUCAGCAGCAAU
rnacentral:lncRNA from 1 species